GAUGAACGCUGGCGGCGUGCCUAAUACAUGCAAGUCGAGCGAACAGAUGAGAAGCUUGCUUCUCUGAUGUUAGCGGCGGACGGGUGAGUAACACGUGGGUAACCUACCUAUAAGACUGGGAUAACUCCGGGAAACCGGGGCUAAUACCGGAUAAUAUUUUGAACCGCAUGGUUCAAUAGUGAAAGACGGUUUCGGCUGUCACUUAUAGAUGGACCCGCGCCGUAUUAGCUAGUUGGUAAGGUAACGGCUUACCAAGGCGACGAUACGUAGCCGACCUGGGAGGGUGAGCGGCCACACUGGAACUGAGACACGGUACAGACUACUACGGGGGGCAGCAGUAGGGAAGCUUCUGCAAUGGGCGAAAGCCUGACGGAGCAACGCCGCGUGAGUGAUGAAGGUCUUCGGAUCGUAAAACUCUGUUGUUAGGGAAGAACAAAUUUGUUAGUAACUGAACAAGUCUUGACGGUACCUAACCAGAAAGCCACGGCUAACUACGUGCCAGCCGCCGCCGUAA
rnacentral:rRNA from 1 species